UUCAGAAAAGCCUCAGUGUUAUCGCCACUCUAUGGACCAACGGGCAGGAGGCAGCACCUGGGUCUCUGAACAAGCCAUGCAAAAGCAAAAAGCAGCAUUAGGGUGAACAAGCUGCCUGCACUGACAUAGAGCAGCUAGCCGGCAGAGUCUGGCUGAGAGGACACCACCCCAAUCCGUCUUUAAGUGACACCCAAAGUCCAGUCGCUGGAGUCUUACACCCCAUGACGUUACGGAGUUACCCCUACACCCAGCAGGCUGGUGGACCUCGGCACACGCUGCGGUUACACUGCAGCUGCAGCACAACUGAACUGCAAUAACCAGCUGUGCCCAAAAUCUGUAGCACGCGUGUUUCCAACAUCCACCAGAGCUCAUCUCAGACCCCUACGGAUUUCAGCAGUUAAGCAACAAAAACAUUUUUGUUAAUGGGAAAGAAAAAAGCUGUACUCACCCUAGUAGUUUAAAUCUGUUAAGCAGCAUCUUAAAAGGAAAUCGUACUGGAGUCUAAAUAUGUUGUCUCCAUCUGAAUAUCACAUCCUUUUUGCCUUUUAAUCUUAAGUUAAAUUUAACCUCUCACUGACUUAAAAAGGGGACGAGUAGUAGUUUGAGUUGCAAUAUCAUCCACCAAAGCCUGUACUUAGUGAUGUUUGUUAUUAACCACAUAUAUAUUUAUCGCAGUGCAACAAAAACGAGACAUGUAGGGUGUAAAAGUAUAAUGAAGA